rnacentral:rRNA from 1 species
AUUGAACGCUGGCGGCAGGCCUAACACAUGCAAGUCGAGCGGAGCGGCGGACGGGUGAGUAAUGCCUAGGAAUCUGCCUGGUGGUGGGGGAUCCCGUCCGGAAGCGGGAGCUAAUACCGCAUAAUAUCAGAUGAGCCUCGGUCGGAUUAGCUAGUUGGUGGGGUAAAGGCCUACCAAGGCGACGAUCCGUAACUGGUCUGAGAGGAUGAUCAUGCACACUGGAACUGAGACACGGUCCAGACUCCUACGGGAGGCAGCAGUGGGGAAUAUUGGACAAUGGGCGAAAGCCUGAUGCAGCAAUGCCGCGUGUGUGAAGAAGGUCUUCGGAUCGUAAAGCACUUUAAGUAGGGAGGCGUUACCAACAGAAUAAGCACCGGCUAACUUCGUGCCAGCAGCCGCGGUAAUUC